rnacentral:rRNA from 1 species
ACGAACGCUGGCGGCAGGCUUAACACAUGCAAGUCGCACGCAUGCCUUCGGGCAUGAGUGGCAGACGGGUGAGUAACGCGUGGGAACCUACCCCUUGGUACGGGAUAGCUCCGGGAAACUGGAGAUAAUACCGUAUGUGUCCUGAGGGACAAAGAUUCAUCGCCAAGGGAUGGGCCCGCGUCGGAUUAGCUAGUUGGUGGGGUAACGGCCUACCAAGGCGACGAUCCGUAGCUGGUCUAAGAGGAUGAUCAGCCACAUUGGGACUGAGACACGGCCCAAACUCCUACGGGAGGCAGCAGUGGGGAAUAUUGGACAAUGGGCGCAAGCCUGAUCCAGCCAUGCCGCGUGAGUGAUGAAGGCCCUAGGGUUGUAAAGCUCUUUCACCGGUGACGAUAAUGACGGUAACCGGAGAAGAAGCCCCGGCUAACUUCGUG